rnacentral:rRNA from 1 species
AACGAACGCUGGCGGCGUGCUUAACACAUGCAAGUCGAGCGGACACGCCCUGCUUUUGUGGGGUGCUCGAGUGGAGAACGGGUGAGUAACCCGUGUCUACCCUGCCCUCUCCUUUGGCAUAACUUCAGGCCGCUGGGGCUCAUACCGGGUAGGAGCUCCUGCUGAAUGGUCGGGGUUGGAUAGUUUCGGCGGUUGGGGAUGGACUCGCGGCGUAUCCGCUUGUUGGUGGGGUAGUGGCUUACCAAGGCUUUGCCGGGUAGCCGAGCUGAGCGGGUGACAGGCUACAUUAGGACUGAGAUGCGGCCCAGACUCCUACGGGAGGCAGCGGUGGGGAAGAGUGCACAAUGGGCGGAAGGCUAAUGCAGCAUCGCCGCGUGGGGGAUGACGUCCUGCGGGUAGUAAUCCGCAGCCGCCUCAGAUGAAGAGAGAGUGACGGUAAUAGGUAAAGAAGCACCGGCUAACUACGUG